CCCUACAACAGUGAAAUCAACAAUGACUUGUGUCAGGAGGAAACUUUAAUUUGUUAUUGAUUACAAAAAUUUCUAAUUGUUUAGAGAACAAUCCAACAUUACAUGAAGAGGUAAAAUGCUGGAAGUAAGUCUUGAGGCUUUUGGCUGAGAACAAAAUACACAAAUGUGAAAAAUGAUGAUUUGUGACCAGAUCUGGUCAAUCCUCAUUGAUGCAGAACUUUUAAAAUACUACAGUCAGGUCUCAUCUCUUACCUGAAGAUACCAAGCUAUGCCCAUCUCUGUAGUAAACAAUUCAAAAUCCUGA